CAGGCACAACCAGCUCUGCUUCUACUCUACAGCCUGCAGACAGACACCCCAUCACCCUCAACAAGUGCUGAAGGAGCAACAGCUUUCCACUGGGGUUUAGUUCAAGCUUGCUCCUUAUCGGCCCUCCAGAGCGGCUCUUUGACUUCUAGCGGCAGCUUGUUGAACAGGUCCUCCUCCACCACCAGACUGCUCCUCUUCAGCCGCCGACACUCGCCGAGCUCCACCGGGAGACACUCGAGACGGUUCCCUCUCAGCUCCAGCUGGGUCAAUCCGAAGUAGUAAUGGACAAGAAAAAGGCUGUCGCCUUUCUUCUGCUGCGUCGCAGACUACGGGCAAAGAGGAGGGCUUGGGUGCACCCCAUAAACGAACGCAGGCAAAAGCAAGGAGCUGCAGGCAGACCCUGAAAAGCAUCGAAAAUACUUCCGGACUUCCGGAGUGCAGCUGAGAUGGAGCAAAUUCUCUGCAUAAUUGGUGCAGACAUCACAAGGAUGAAUACAAAUUCCAGACGUCCCAUUGAAGCAAAACAGAAGCUUGCUGUCACAUUAAGGUACAUUGCAACAGGAGACUCUAUGUCCAGCCUGGCUUUCUGCUACCGCCUAAGAGAGAGCACUGUUGCCAGCAUUAUAAAGGACACUUGUGCUGCCAUCAAUCAAUGUAUGAUAGACACCUACAUGCCCCAGCCCACUGAAGAUGCUUGGAGAAAAGUAGCACAGAGGUUCAUUGAAAAAUGGAACUUUCCAAAUUGCAUUGGAGCUAUUGAUGGCAAGCACAUUUGCAUACAGGCACCCCAGUGCUGUGAGGGACAAGCUGUGCGAGUACUUUAACUCACCACAAGGAAGUGUCCCAUGGCAGGACCAUAUGGUUUAAAUAGAAGACACGAUGAAAAAGAAAAUGGGGAUUUUUUUAUGUGUGUUAAAAUUUGGCAUAUUUUUUUUAUUUAUGGGAGAGCUGCCAGAUCCUAGAAUUGAAAUUUGCCGUGGCUAUAGAUUAAUGGACAAUAUAGUAA